UGAGUACUCCCUCCGUCCGGAAAUACUUGUCAUUGAAAUGGAUGUAUCUAGAUGUAUUUUAGUUCUAGAUACAUUCAUUUUUAUCCAUUUUGAUGACAAGUAAUUCCGGACGGAGGGAGUACUGA
rnacentral:pre_miRNA from 1 species